rnacentral:rRNA from 1 species
UGGAUCCAGACUUUGAUUCUGGCUCAGGACGAACGCUGGCGGCGCGCCUAACACAUGCAAGUCGAACGAGAGAGAAGGAGCUUGCUUCUUCGAUCGAGUGGCGAACGGGUGAGUAACGCGUGAGGAACCUGCCUCAAAGAGGGGGACAACAGUUGGAAACGACUGCUAAUACCGCAUAAGCCCACGGGUCGGCAUCGACCAGAGGGAAAAGGAGCAAUCCGCUUUGAGAUGGCCUCGCGUCCGAUUAGCUAGUUGGUGAGGUAAUGGCCCACCAAGGCGACGAUCGGUAGCCGGACUGAGAGGUUGAACGGCCACAUUGGGACUGAGACACGGCCCAGACUCCUACGGGAGGCAGCAGUGGGGAAUAUUGCACAAUGGGGGAAACCCUGAUGCAGCGACGCCGCGUGGAGGAAGAAGGUCUUCGGAUCGUAAACUCCUGUUGUUGAGGAAGAUAAUGACGGUACUCAACAAGGAAGUGACGGCUAACUACGUGCCAGCAGCCGCGGUAAAACGUAGGUCACAAGCGUUGUCCGGAAUUACUGGGUGUAAAGGGAGCGCAGGCGGGAAGACAAGUUGGAAGUGAAAUCCAUGGGCUCAACCCAUGAACUGCUUUCAAAACUGUUUUUCUUGAGUAGUGCAGAGGUAGGCGGAAUUCCCGGUGUAGCGGUGGAAUGCGUAGAUAUCGGGAGGAACACCAGUGGCGAAGGCGGCCUACUGGGCACCAACUGACGCUGAGGCUCGAAAGUGUGGGUAGCAAACAGGAUUAGAUACCCUGGUAGUCCACACCGUAAACGAUGAUUACUAGGUGUUGGAGGAUUGACCCCUUCAGUGCCGCAGUUAACACAAUAAGUAAUCCACCUGGGGAGUACGACCGCAAGGUUGCAACUCAAAGGAAUUGACGGA